rnacentral:rRNA from 1 species
CCCUUAGAUGUCCUGGGCCGCACGCGCGCUACACUGAGUGUCUGAGAUACGAGUCUGCCUGGUCCGGCAAGGUCUAGGUAAUCGCUAAAAGACACAUCAUGCUGGGGAUAGAUUAUUGCAAAUAUUAAUCUUGAACGAGGAAUUCCUAGUAAGCGCAAGUCAACAGCUUGCGUUGAUUACGUCCCUGCCCUUUGUACACACCGCCCGUCGCUACUACUGAUUGGAUGUUUAAGCGAGGUUCUCGAACUGCUAGCGACUUAGCUUCGGUGAGGUCGCAGUGUGGGAAGUGAACCUAGCUUUGGUGUCUAGAGGAAGUAAAAGUCGUAACA